GGUCUCGUAGCUCAGUUGGCUAGAGCGUUGGUUGUACUAAAGCCUUCCCCUUGCUGGCGUGGGUUCAAAUCCCACCGAGGCCG
rnacentral:tRNA from 1 species